rnacentral:tRNA from 1 species
GCCCUGGUGGCACAGUGGUGAUGUGCUCGGUUGCUAACUGAAAGGUUGGUGGUUUGAACCCACUCAGCGGCU